CUUCGAUAGCUCAGUUGGUAGAGC
rnacentral:piRNA from 4 species